rnacentral:misc_RNA from 1 species
GAUGAAGAACGUAGCAAAAUGCGAUAAGUAAUGUGAAUUGCAGAAUUCAGUGAAUCAUCGAAUCUUUGAACGCACAUUGCGCCCGCCAGUAUUCUGGCGGGCAUGCCUGUUCGAGCGUCAUUUCAACCCUCAAGCACAGCUUGGUGUUGGGACUCGCGUUAAUUCGCGUUCCCCAAAUUGAUUGGCGGUCACGUCGAGCUUCCAUAGCGUAGUAGUAAAACCCUCGUUACUGGUAAUCGUCGCGGCCACGCCGUUAAACCCCAACUUCUGAAUGUUGACCUCGGAUCAGGUAGGAAUACCCGCUGAACUUAAGCAUAUCAAUAAGCGAGGA